UUACGGCCACAGCGCGUUGAAACACCGGGUCCCGUACGAUCACCGAAAUUAAGCAACGUCGAGCCUGGUCAAGUACCGAGAUGGGUGACUGCUUGGGAAUAUCACGUGUUGUAAG